CCUACUCCAUUUGGAUAAAGCAGCUUUUAUCUUCUUCACCUUCUGCUUCCACCUAAGAAAAACACCUGAAUCAUCUCCUGUUACCCAGUGUUCUUUGACAACAUCCAUGAAACCCUCAUGUUCUAUCUAAAACUUGAGAAAUUUGAAAGGUUCAUGGACUUGUGAUUGCUAUUUUCUACAUGUUAACAACAAAGGUGCAUGGUUAGAACCAGUUCUAGCCAGAUGCUACAACUCUAGAUAACCAAAGGCCUUCUGAAAUGGUUGAUUAGCCACCAUUUUAUCUAGCCAUUAAAAAUACAUUAUUUAUCAGUUUUACCAUUCCACUAAGUAAAUGGUCUCUCCUUGAAGGUAAUCUUUUUCAACUCACAAGAGUUUAAGCAAAAAUGCAAAAUCUUCAUAUUCUGCAAGAUAUACAGGCAAUCCUCCUAAUAUCUUCAUUCAUAAUAACAUUAAAAUCACCACCGAGUAGCCAAGUUAAUUGCAUAUUGCUGGCCAGUCCAUAAAUAUCAUCCCAGAGAUCCAGUCUAUCAAGUGUAGUACACUUUGCCAACACUACAAUAACAAAGAAGCUCUGGUCAUUGUCUUGUAAAUUUAGCUUCAUGGUUAUCUGUUGAGAAUUGUCUGAUAAGAGUUCAACUGAUACACUAUCAUUAAUAAAUAACCAUAUCUUCCCAUUUUGAUUAUAUGUAGCUGACUUCAUGCCUAGUCUUCUUUUAUAUUUUUCAGUGUGUCUUGAAUCUUGAAAAGGUUCAGUUAAAGCUAUCAAACUGAACUUAUGGUGUCUCUGGAGAAUUUGAACUCUAUGAAAGACAUGUUAUGUAUUAACAUACCUUAUGUUCCAUAUUAGAGUCUUCAUUAUUAUCAUUGAGAAAUUGGUUUGGGUCCCCUUCAAAGACCAACUCUUGUAGGUUGUGGCACCUCACUACCCUUUACUUUAGAUCUUUUGGCCUUGUAAACUGAUGUCUUCCUGUCUUGUAACAUGUUCCAAAUUUUUAUUAUUGUCUGCUUCGUCUUUAUCCUCUAAUAAAACUGUUUUCUUUUUUUAGGACUGUUGAUUUGCCCAAAAGUGUGUUCUUUUUUUAAGACUGUUGAUUUGCCCUUUCUCCUAAUGUGAGACAAUAGCCUGAAGAAGAAGGGAGGGGACCUACAUAAGAAGCUAAUGUGUACUGUUACUAACCAUUAUAGCCCAUCCAUCCCCUUCCCCUUGUGUUGGGACUGUAAUCUGUUGUACUAUAUCAUUCAUGUCUGCAUUAAUAUAUGUAAUUAGCUCAUCUGUUGAAGGUAUUAAGUAUUGAUCUGUGUGAACUGAUUCUGCAUUCUUUCUUGCAACAGCUUCAACAUCUUCUCCACCUUUGAUUACCUCACCUUGUUGAUUAUUUUCAUCUUUUCCUAAAUUUUCUGGUGAUUCUCUUCUUUCCCUCCAACCUAUUUCAUCUAAUUACUUUUCCUGGGAGUGAGUUGCUUGAUAAAAAUCAUUCUCCAUGCACUUCUUAGUUUGAUUGGAAUUCUUCUCCUGAAAUGAAUUUGCUUCACUUGUGUUCUCUGUGUGUUGAUUAUGUGUUCUCUGUGUGUUGAUUAUUUGUGUAAUUCUCCAUUUGCUUCAAUUGCUGCCUUUGUUUAUUAAUAUCAUCCAUAACUUUAUUUUUAUUACUGACAUGUUGUAUGUUUUCAUUCUUAUUAGUUGGAAGCUUCUGAAUAUUUUUGAUCACUCACACCAUUUUUGAAGCCAUAUCAUUUUCCAAACCAUCAACUUUUUCUCCUUUGGCUGAACUCUGAAGCUUCCUUCCUAUAAGUAUCACAUAUAUUUGCACCUAUAGUUGUCCCUUUGUUUUCUCUAUCAUCAUCAUGAAUAGACUCCAAGGCUGCAAAUUGAUUUUGUGAAUCAAUAUUACCAUCGGUAUUGUUUGGCACCUGUGAGCUUUGGUUUACUUUUGCUUUCCCUUUCUUUUUGCAACUCUAUUCCAGUCUUACGAAUUCCCAACAAUUUUUUCACUUAAUCUUCUAGGAAAGCAACCAGUUGGUUAUGGUUGUUGGGGUUUAUUUUAUUUCAUUUGAGUAGACGUGUUAUUACUUGCUGCCUACAAAUUUGUUGGUUCCAUGUUAUCUUCUGCCUCUGUGCUGAUUCGGUAUGAAUCACCCUGCACUCAUACCUAUUAGGACCUCGUAAUUUGCUGUUCAUUGCAAUAUUUUGGCAAGGAGUCAUACUGGAAAUUUACUUUGACAGUCCUUAUAGCACUUGUAGAUUCAUCUUCAAUGUCCAUUCUCACAUGAUCAGGGAGUUUUGUUGAUUGUUGUCAUAUCCAAGUGUAGAGGAGUCCCAACAGCAGAGCCUAACGAGAACAAUGACUCCUUCAAAAAAGAGUAGGUAGCACGUUGGGAAAUGAUAUCCAGGGCAUAGCCAUAGUUGUUCUUCUGCAGUAAACUUUGAGUCAUAUAUCAGCAGUAUCGUCUGAUAAAGAGGCACAAUCCUUAGAUUUUAUAUAAAAAGCAGUCUUUGAUGUCAAAUUAUUGGAAUCAUCCGUUAGUGAAAGUCUAAUCAGAAUAUGCCUAUUUCUGAGGUAUCCAAUCUGACAAUCUACUUUUAUGUUGCAUUGUACAGGUAUCGUGGUACGCAAUUCUUCCAAUUUGGGCCAGUAUACGAAAAUUUUCCAAAUACCAUACUGUAAAUUUUCAAUGACGUUCAUCUUUGUAACUUCUGAUUCAGACCAUUUUAUGUAUGGUUCCCCAUGCAACAAUGUAAUCAGUUUCAUAGCAAUCGAAGACAUCUUUUUAGGGCAGGCUUGUUGAUUAUUCAAAACAGUUGGUUGCAAAAAUUUUGAGUAAUCAAGGGUGGUGGAUGAGAUGGUAUUAUCUUGUGUGGGUAUUGCAGUUGGUGCGGCUAGUAGGGUUUGGUCAACCUUUGUCUUUGAUAGUUGACCAGUGGUCGACCUGGCCACGGUGGAUUCUGAUGAGAAAGUAAUUAGGGUUCAUGUGCAUGUGGCUAGAGAGGGUUGAGUAAUCAAGGGCGGCAGAUGAUACCGUUUCUUAAGAUGCGUAUCAAGUUGAUAAAGUGUCAAGUUGAUAGUAAGCAAAAGUUGAUACCUUUUGAAUAAGUUUUUUAAGAGGCAUAUAUAUACGAAAAACAAAAAAAGUUAACAAAUAAAUUUAAUAAG
rnacentral:lncRNA from 1 species